rnacentral:lncRNA from 12 species
UUAGAAUAAAAAAUAAAAUUAAUUUAUAUAAAAUAAACAACAUAAAUGUUUCAGUGUUUCUGUUUGUAGUUCAGUCUGGCGUUCUGAAAUGUUGUUCAUUUCUAUGUUCUGUGUGCAUGAGUGAUUUUGUAGCCACUGAUGAACUCAGGCUGUCACUGCCUUUUGCUCUGGGAGCUUCCAUGUGGACCGAGAGAAGAGGAGGAGGAGGAGAGAGGGAGGAAAACAGACAGCAACACAGAAGAGACAAGGAGGGCAGGAGGAGGGAAAGUAACCGAUGGGGAGAGAGAGAGAGAGAGAGAGAGAGAGAGAGAGAGAUGGAGUGAGCAGCUCUGAGCAGCACUAAGAGCUCGGGAGGAGAGAUGCCAGACAAAAUAUGAAGAAAGACCCGAACGCAGUUAAAAAUGGGACUGAAAAGAAAAACCGAACACAGAUUCUGAAACAGGAGACGUUGAAGGCAAAUGCAAGAUGUUUGGGGAUUUUUAAAUUCUUCAAGUCUUCCAGACGUUAAUUGUAGAUGCUUUGAUUCCCUUGGACUUUUUGUCAGAUGGGAUUUCAAUAUUUAAAACCGAACUCCCAGCAUCCUUCCUGCUCUCUUCUGGAACUAUCUACAAGGUCCCUUCUGACCUUUAAACUUCUCCAUCUGUUACUUGAUCUUCAAGCUUUAAUUUCCAGUUGAAAGAGGACCUGUCUCCCAUUCUUGAUACACCAGCACCGUCCAGCAGCUCCAUCACUCAGCGCACUAACUGGAUUCUCCAGACUCCAGAGACGGUCUGAGCUCAGGACAGACGAGCCGUCUGAACGGUGAGGGAUUGUUUAGAAAGACAGAACUGGACCGGGCCGACGAAAGGGUGCAGGGGGAGAGGAUCCGGGCCGUGGAAGUCCUGCAGGCAUGGAUGCAACACCAGAAUAAAAAACAGGACGGGAAGUUUCUGCUGUCCCACUGGUACAAUGUGUGCAGGCGUGGCGCCCCCUGGAGGUGGGGAUCAGUGAUAUUAAACAUGCUCCCCCAUGGCCAUCAUCACAGGUGUCAGGCCAUCGCGGAGGAGCCAGAGAACGACCGCGAGGAGAGGAUUCUGGCAAUACUGGGGAUCAUCGGCACCGUGCUCAACUUGCUGGUGGUCAUCUUUGUCUACAUCUACACCACCUUCUAAGAUCUCAAGAGACAGGAUGCCCUCAUCUGAAGAAAUGGCAAUAAAGCAGAGGAGAACAAACUGGCUUCAUGUUUCAUCACCAAAAACCAUCAAGCAGUGCCUGACCUAUUAAAUCAGUCGAGAAAACGCAAGCAUUACGUUCAAAACUAAGCUGAGACCUUUCCGUUUCAGUUAGACGGUGGUUGUCCGUUAUUUGUGCAUCUGUUCAUGGUUCAUUUUGUAGAGUCUUGAUUAUAAUUGCAUGUUCUCUGACUUACAGUAAGUAUUAUAUGCUAUUUGAGAUGUGUGUGAUUUCACUUACAGCUGAUCUGGGUCUAGAGGAGAGCAAUAUUAUGUCGAGGAUAUGACGUGCAGAAAUAAUGGUUAUUGAAUUUCUUGUUUUAUGUUGAAUUGUCUCUCUAUAAAGCACAACAGAGCAGAAUGCCACAACGACGUCUUGUUCUCAGGUGUUUAGCAGGGUUUGAGGGAACGUUUACUUGAAAGGUGCAUUGAUGACCUCUAUUGUCGCUGUCACGCUCGUAAUGACUGAUCUCGAUUUACACUUUCUACUCGAUGUGCUUUUUGCAAUGAAAAACUUCAACCUGAUGAAAACAUAGUGUUGUAAUAGUUUUGUACAACAAAAAUUGUUUAAGUAAUGUGAAAUAAGAGAAAGAUGGCAUUAGAAAUAUGCUUUUAUAACAUCAUAUGAAAUGGUUUUGACUGUUGAAAUGGGCUUUUAGCUUCUUACGCAAUGUUUCGAAAGAAAACAUUAAAACUGAAUAAAGUUGACAUGAAGAUCUGAUGUUUCUUGUAAUUAAAGAGACGGGUUUCCCAGAAAUUACAAAUCUGUCAUUUUUUAUAUUUCUUUGGAGCUCAAAAGGAGAUGUUAGGCAGAAUGACAGACUCGCUCAGCAUUCACUUUCUUUGCGUGGAUAAAAUGUUGCAAUGGAGAUGAAUGGUGACUGACUUCCAUUCAGCUUAACAUCUCCUUUGUCUUUCAGUGAGUUAUGCGGGUUUCAAACAACAUGACCGAAUUUUCACUUUUGGGAGAACCGUCCCUUUAAGAAUUGAAAAUAAGUGUUUAUUAUAAAGGGAAUCCCUAGGAAUUUCUGUUGGAAUUGCAGCAACAACAAAAGCACUCAGCGUAGCUGAUUUUAUGAAUUAAGCCCUUGGCAUAUUGUGUUUUCUGGAACAUGAUAAAAAAAAAAAAAAAAAAAAAAUAGAUGAUGUCUGAAGGUAUAAAAAGAGAUUUCCCUCUCUCCUAUUUGCUCAUUCAGAUGGGACAGCUGGGAGCUGGAAUGCCUGCAGCAAACCAUCUGCUCUCAUGGACAGAGGCAUCCCAACAUGUCUAUGCCAUGUCAUCUUAUAUAUAUUUACAAGUGCUGUCCGGAAAGUAUCCAGCAAUGUAAUAUGAAAAAUACGAUAUGAAAGAUGCAGUAUGAUGAAAACAGUUCAAAAUGUCCAAUGAGGCUCUGCUGUGAGAAUCUUUAUAUGUGUUUGAUAAACUAAUAUAGAAUUAACCUAGCCUAAAAAGUAGCUAAUUUUAAAUAUAUCAAAUCUCUGUACCUGUUCAUUACAAUGGAAGUUUUGGCCUGGCUGUCCCACCUGAUCCUGACCUUCUCCACUGAUUUCAACAAUUAAAAUCAUCAUUAUUUAAAAAAAAAAAAAAUUCAAAUUAUAUAGAAAUUGUAGUGACCAAAAACAACGUUGCACAUUUUGUACAGUAGGUGUGAAUGAUCAAUUUUAUGCUCACAGUUUUUACAGAAAUUGUGUCAAAACUAAACUUUUAACCUUGCCAUCCAAGUUUUUAUGAGAAAACCCAACAAGAUUAUAUUUAUUUAGUUAAUGGGAAAAUAUAAAGAUGAGUCCCACAUUUUGGUAUUAGGGCUUUUAUACUUUGCAUAAAAUGAACAACAACGAAAAAAAUUAAACGGCUCAAAUAAAUCUAGGUCAAGCACCUCCUUUCACUGACUAUUUGCUGAAAAAGAAAAAAAAAAUAGUUUUAAGACCUAUUAUGUAACCUAUUCAUGGAAAGCGCCUGCUUUAUUUAUUUCUUUUUCUUUUUACUGAAUUCAGGCUGUGGCUAUAUGAGGAUUAGAAAUGAAUGUUCCCAUAUUCUCAGAGUCCCAUAUGCCAUAUCCUAUAAAGCUGUAGAACCUCUGUCAGCCUCAGACCUAAAUCUUUAAAAUGUAAAGGCAGUUAUGAAUAUUUCAGCGUGGCCACUGUCAUUUUAAGACAGACUGUUUGCUACAGUAUGUCCUCUUCCUGAACUCCCAUAACAGAAACAGGUUUGAUCUGUAAUACUGUAAGAGCGGAUUCAUGGGACACGAGGGAACUCCUGCAAGUGUCCUGCUGUUACUGUAUAUCAGCCCUAAGCACACAUUGUCCUGCGCAGGUACAGGAGGACACACGGAGUGAAGAUCCUGUUGUGUUUACAGGCCUCGUGCUGGAAGCAGGAUCCUGAAUUAUUGACACAGCUGUUCUGUUUGGAUUUUUUUUUCUUUUUAAAGUGUUUUACAGAAACAGCUUUCCACGUGGUGCCACAUAAGAGCUUUGGGUUCCAAAAUACACACGAGUCACAAACUGUUUUCUUUUAAUUCAGCUAGAAUGAUUUUUUAUUCUGAUCAGAGGUUUUGGAUCCCACUGCAUUUAUAAAAUUCAAAGUGUAGGCCAUAAUUCUGUCUCUCUGCGGUUUGAGAGGAGCUCUGUCUACAGUGUGAGCAGUGGUUAUUCUCCUUGCCUUUAUCUCUGUUAUCUGAUUGAUCAGCACAUUCUUGUAGCCUGAGGCUAGUGCUGAUUGAGAGCCGUCCACCAAUGAACUGACCAGCUCACAGUCGCUUCUCAUUACAACCGCUGAUGAGGGAGACAGAGAGAUUUUAUGUGUGUAAUAGAUGAAAAUAUUAGGGGCUAUUCACACAGAAUGUGGGUUUCCUUUCCACUGCUCUACUUUAUGUGUGUAGCAUGAAUGUAACCUGGAUCUGUUGUAAUUGUCAUGUGACCGACGAUAGUAAGUUGCGUCGCGUCACUGACAUUCAUAAAUUCUCUCCCAUGGCCUCAUGGGAUAGUGUCCAUCGUAUGCACACUUCAGGAUCAUGCCAGAAGUAGUAGGUCGUCUGGGAGCUUUUUCAUCAGUACUGUGAAUUCAUACUUCUUUUGUCACAUUUUCACCAAGGGAAGUAUGCGAUGCUGGACGCAGCCAAUGAGUUUUCUGGUUGUAAAAACUACUGCAAAAUGGGACAAACUUUCACAGAUGAGAAUGUGUUGGUUUGUGAUUUAUACGUAUGAACAGAAUUUUACUGGUUUUUAAACUUUUGUAUUUGUCUUGUAUCGUGUUAGUUUAGUGAAACCCACCAUCGUCCUCUCCUCUGGUGACCCCUGGGGUUAUAGUACACUCACCUCUGACCUCUAAUUAUAUCCUAAGUGCUCAUUAGAAACAUGUCCAGGUGAGUGCAAAGUGGGCACACUGCUGUAAUUGGCCAUUAUAACAUUUCAGCCCCAUCUGACACCUCCCUCUCUCUCUCUCUCUCUCUCUGCAGACUCUCUGAGGCCUUGAGCAAUUAGUUCUGUGUCAGGCUUUAUCAGAGGAAAGUCUCUUCUGUUAAUGCUCAGCCUGGUCUAUGGGGAUUAUGCUUUCUGCACUGAAAGCAAGAAUUCAGUUCACCUUCAAAAGUCACAGCACUCCCCAGAAGGUCUCAGAAAGCACAUGGCAUUCAGAAGGGUCCUGUUUUGCUCUCUUUCUCACAUCUUUCUCAAAUAUUUCCCUU